GCCAGGUAAGUUUCUCGUCUUUUGGUGCCUCAGGCUUGGGUGACUCGGGUGGUGUUUGGUGGGGGGGGGGGAUGUCUCCCAGUCUGUAUCUCUGUCUGCCUUUGCUCCCACCCUCGGGCUCUCUCCAUCGGAGACAGAAAGUUAGAUUUUUAAAACGCAACAGAGGCUAUCAAAUCCAUGCUCAGACCCCAAACAAGCCAAACUCUGGGGCCAUAUUCUUAAUUUCCAGGGUACCUUCAAAGGUCCGGAUGCGGCGUUUACGGGGCUAGGAAUGUUUGAUUUGUUUCUCGUGUUUCCCUCCUCCCCCACUUUCUUCCUGGGUGAUUCUUAGAGGUUAGGGGGGUGGGAGGUGGCAAGAGAGCUAGAGGGCUGAGCCGGAAUCCUUUGCCAAGGCGGUUUCCUCAUUCUCGGCGAGGUGGCAGAUGUUUCACUGUAGCCUGAGUUGGGAUCUUGGAACAACCCUCCCCAGCCCAGGACGUGCUGCAUAUCAAUCUCGUCACCACUGACUGAAUCAAAAUGUUCCGGAGGCACAAUUCAUGUGAAUGUCACGAUA
rnacentral:lncRNA from 1 species